UCUGGUUAUUUCAGAACCACCACUGUCGUUAAAUUAUCCAGGGAUCGUCAAGGUAACAGCUCUCUAGGAACAAAUGACUGGCGUUGCCCAAUGUUCGUCCUCUUGGGUGGACGUAAAACUACCGCCGAGAGCAUCAUGCCCAGCGCAGACUUGGAGGGAACAAAGAGGGACGAGAAUGGUGGUGAUAGAAAUGAGGGAUAGAAGCAAGAACAGGAAGCCGCUGCAGAGAGGGAGAAAUCUCAGCAUCGAAGCAAUUCAGGCAGUGCAAGCCUUGAAGCGAGCCCGCCAACACAAUAAUUCAUCGGAUUUGCACCAAGUUUUUAAUUCCAAGUUCAGACGUUUGUUGAAGUUCGAUAUGAUUGCCGUGCUCCGUGAACUCCUCAGGCAGAACCAAUGUCUCCUGUCUCUUAAGGUUUUCGAAGAUAUUAGGAGGGAGUCUUGGUACAAGCCGCAGGUUUUGUUGUAUGCGGAAAUGAUUCAGAUGGGAAAAGCAAUUGACAUAUAUUGCAAGCCUCUAAUUUCAAGUGUAACAUUGGUCUUAAGUUAAAUCCUCUAAUUUCAAGGAACAAUGCAGGCAUUGUUGCUUCUUUCACGGAGUUCGACUCAUAGCUAUUUGCUGAUUCGAUAAGUAAAAGUUCUCCGCCCAACUGAUCCAAUGUUCUUUUUCUGUAAAUAAAAAUCCCUCCAUCUUCUUCUUCCAUCAAAACCCACCUCCUAUUUCUGUCAUCAAUAUGGUGAAGCGGCAUUCCCCUGUCAAUCAAAAAAGCCAUAUAAACAAUAACACAAUAUAAACAAAACGAAAGGUGAGACUGUUACACUGUUACCUGACAUGAAAGAGAUAAGAGACAUCGUCCAUCUCGAGAUAAAAGUUAACGGCGUCGAUAAACGCACGGUAAGUGUAGAUAUGGAGGCUGUCGAUUCUGGGUUAAGGCAAACGGGGCGCGGAGGUGGCUGCGCUUCUGACUUGUAGUUUGACUUCACAGCUUCGCUAUCAUACACGUACUCCUUCCAGGCCAAGUGGGUGGAGGAGGAGUAGGCUGGAAAAAAAAUGAAACUGAAGCCCUUGGUGGCCAUUAUGGAGUCAAGCUCGUCGUGAGUGAUGAUGGGGUUGAACGUUCGAGUGUCCCAUAGAGCUAGUUUUCUAAAAUCUUCCUCCAUUGUUGCUGUGUUUGUGCGUUGGAUCGGAUAGUUUUGUGGGUGAAAACAGGUGUAACCAAUCCUUCUCUGCUGACCAAUCCUGUGAAUUCUUCUAGACCAAGUGAAGAUGGAGAUUCAAGCUUCCAGAAUCAUGGAGGCUGGAGCGUUCCUCUUUAUUCUGAUCUUUCCUGGAUGUAUCAAGGCUGCAGAAUGCAGCUCUGCUUGACUACCACUGCUCUGUUUUGUGCAUUUUCUUGGCCCUUGCAGCUUUGAUGUCAUCUCUUGGUAUCUAUCUUGUGUAUAUGAUGCUAGAUAGAUAGGAAGAGAGGUCUUGUUUUGUUUUGCCCUCUAGUUAGGGGCUUGUCCUAGCAGUGGGGUAUCUUUUCCCUCACCUGGCCGUGUUGUGUUGGUUGCUCUUAUUUUAGGGUGUUUUUGAACAUCAUUGCUUUGUUUAUAAAACACACACAGCAAAAGAAAAAAAAAAUGUUAAGUGUAACUCAUUUUGAAUGAGACUAGGUAAAAUUAUUGACAUAAUUCGAAUCAAACUACAAUUCAAGUUUGAAUAUCAUCCUCCAACUCUAGAGUUAAAUUUAGCCAAUUUUUCUCUAAUUUAUGUUUAAGUUUAUUUAAAAAAUAAACUCAAUUUAAAUUUAAAUCAUACCAAACCAAUUAGUCUUUUAAGACCGAGCUUAGUCCCAUUGGGUCCAGCCCAAAGUGCAGGUAUUAACAUAUUUCACAAUGGUGGCAGGUGUUGAAGUAAAACGCAGCGUAAAGAAGAGCAGUGAAAUUUAAAAGGGGUCCUUGUGCAUCCAUCAAGUGAAACAAGAAGAGCCGAGAACUCCUCUAAACUCCUCUUUGUGGACGCAAAAUUUCCCCUUUGAAAUUCUUUCCUCACCCCAAACCCUUUGUUUUUCACCAGGAAAAGAAUAUGAUUUUGAAUACCCAUUUAUAGGUUUAGUGUUACUUCUCAUUCAAAACCAUGUCUUUGCGAAUAAAAGCGGUGGUCGACAAGUUCGUGCAGGAGCUGAAGGAGGCUUUGGAUGCAGACA